rnacentral:piRNA from 1 species
UGACACCAUCUAAUCAUUGUCCAGGUGGCC